UAGAGUUUGUCUCCUUGUGGUAGCUGUCACAUCAACUUGGCAGCAAAUGGCAGACAUGGAAUUUUGGGAGUCUGGGUGGCCCACCUGUGAAUCCUCUUCACUUCAACUCCCCACCUCCAGCAUGAGAAGUCACACUGAAGAUAAGUGCUCAGUCAAUAAAACCCUGGAUACACUCAUUAAUGAAAGACCGCGUCAUGAGAGAAGCAUUUAAGGGCAUGACGCAAUGCGUCAUGAACAAGAGGUGCCAUUCUCUGAGAGAGAACGAGAAGGCUGAAAAAUGUUCUGGUGAAAAAGACCCACAGGCGUCCCAACCUCAGCCACAAGCAAGUUUUUCUGAAAAAACACGGUUUUAGAGGAGUGGC
rnacentral:lncRNA from 10 species